UUCCCUCCUAUUUCUUUGCCUUUCCCCCAAAUCUCAUUAUGUCUUUUAUUUUCACUUUUGGGUCUCACCUUGUAGAGUUGCAUCAAACCCUUUUAUCGGUAUUGUUCAUCGUUGGCUUUCACUUUUCUUCCAAUUCUUGGGUUAAGACUUGAGAUGGUAAGAUUCUUUCCCUCUAAUUUCAGUUAAUUUGGCUGGGUAGCAUACCGAUAUACUCGAGACUUUGAUGCCACAAGUUAGGAAGCGUGUAGAUGUUCUAAGAGAGCUUCAAGACAAAUGUGUGAAAAUCAACACAACUAGCAAUCUGGUACAACAAUGCACAAGCUGUUGGAAGAUCUAUCUUGGGUCACUCAACUUUUGUAUUAGAAUUUAGUUUGACAACUCUUUGGGUAAGCUGUGUUGUGUUAAGAAUUCAUAGGAAGGUGCUUUUUCUUACUUUGGACAAAAUAGCAUCUAGAAUACAAUGCAACAAUGAUGAUUAUGCUAAUCAGGAGUUGUUUUCUCUAACUUCAAUCGAGGAAGGAUAAGGUUCUUCAACAACGGGAAAUGAAGUCAGCCACAACUAGAAGUUUGAAGACAACAAAAUAGUUUGGAGACAUUUUAUGUUAUUUUUUGGGUUAUACAUACGUACAAAGAAAAUGGGUUAUAAAUUUAUAAUGUAUACUUUAUAUACUUUAUGUUUUAUUAGCAAUGAAAUAUUCUUAUAUAA